GUUUGUUUCGACGGAAGGGGGUGGAAGUGAGACAAGGAAAGUGAUUUUCGGUAAAAAUUUAUCACUUGCGUCGUUUGAUUCACCGUAAUUUUAUUACUCCCGAAAGUCCAGUUCACCUAAAAUAAUGAACUUGACUUUGCCCUCCCAUGAGGCGAAGUCAAUUACGAUGAAGUGAAAAAAAGACAAGAAUGAAUUAAUGUGUUAGGAUUACCUCUUCUAAAAUAUGAUCAAAUUUGAUUAGAUAAACUUUAAUAUGUUUUUUGUUUAAUUUGUAUAUUUAGAAAAUGAUGAAAAAUAAAUUUGUUAAAUGUUAA
rnacentral:lncRNA from 1 species